rnacentral:rRNA from 1 species
AACGCGAAGAACCUUACCAGCCCUUGACAUCCCGGUCGCGGACACCAGAGAUGGAGUCUUUCAGUUCGGCUGGACCGGAGACAGGUGCUGCAUGGCUGUCGUCAGCUCGUGUCGUGAGAUGUUGGGUUAAGUCCCGCAACGAGCGCAACCCUCGCCCUUAGUUGCCAUCAUUUAGUUGGGCACUCUAGAGGGACUGCCGGUGUUAAACCGGAGGAAGGUGGGGAUGACGUCAAGUCCUCAUGGCCUUUAUGUCCAGGGCUACACACGUGCUACAAUGGCUGGUACAAAGCGUUGCCAACUCGCGAGAGGGAGCUAAUCGCAAAAAACCAGUCUCAGUUCGGAUUGGAGUCUGCAACUCGACUCCAUGAAGUCGGAAUCGCUAGUAAUCGAAGAUCAGCACGCUUCGGUGAAUACGUUCCCGGGCCUUGACACACCGCAUAC